GAGUUUGAUCUUGGCUCAGAUUGAACGCUGGCGGCAGGCCUAACACAUGCAAGUCGAGCGGUAGAGAGAAGCUUGCUUCUCUUGAGAGCGGCGGACGGGUGAGUAAUGCCUAGGAAUCUGCCUGGUAGUGGGGGAUAACGCUCGGAAACGGACGCUAAUACCGCAUACGUCCUACGGGAGAAAGCAGGGGACCUUCGGGCCUUGCGCUAUCAGAUGAGCCUAGGUCGGAUUAGCUAGUUGGUGAGGUAAUGGCUCACCAAGGCGACGAUCCGUAACUGGUCUGAGAGGAUGAUCAGUCACACUGGAACUGAGACACGGUCCAGACUCCUACGGAGGCAGCAGUGGGGAAUAUUGGACAAUGGGCGGAAAGCCUGAUCCAGCCAUGCCGCGUGUGUGAAGAAGGUCUUCGG
rnacentral:rRNA from 1 species